UGAAACACCAGUUGUCCAAUCACUGAAGUUAAGCAAUGUCAAGCCUGCUCAGUACCUAGUUGGGUGACUGCUUGGGAAUACCAGGUGCUGUAAG